AAGAGAGGAGAAAAGAUAUCAGAAGAAGUAGAAAGGUUUUAUAAAGAACUAUACACCUCAAAGAAAGACGCAAACUCCAACACUCGGGAAUAUAUCAAGAAAACAAUCACGAAUGUAAAUUCAGAAACAUUACC
rnacentral:lncRNA from 1 species